UACAGAGGGUGCAAGCGUUAAUCGGAAUUACUGGGCGUAAAGCGUGCGUAGACGGUUAUGUAAGUCAGAUGUGAAAGCCCCGGGCUUAACCUGGGAAUGGCAUUUGAGACUGCAUAGCUAGGGUGCGGAAGAGGGAAGCGGAAUUUCCGGUGUAGCGGUGAAAUGCGUAGAGAUGCGGAGGAACACCGAUGGCGAAGGCAGCCCCCUGGGCCGACAUUGACGCUCAGGCACGAAAGCGUGGGGAGCAAACAGG
rnacentral:rRNA from 1 species